AGCGAACGCUGGCGGCAGGCCUAACACAUGCAAGUCGAACGGGCUCUUCGGAGCUAGUGGCGGACGGGUGAGUAACACGUGGGAACGUGCCUUUAGGUUCGGAAUAAGCCCGGGAAACUGGGUCUAAUACCGGAUGUGCCCUUCGGGGGAAAGAUUUAUCGCCUUUAGAGCGGCCCGCGUCUGAUUAGCUAGUUGGUGGUGUAAUGGACCACCAAGGCGACGAUCAGUAGCUGGUCUGAGAGGAUGAUCAGCCACAUUGGGACUGAGACACGGCCCAAACUCCUACGGGAGGCAGCAGUGGGGAAUCUUGCGCAAUGGGCGAAAGCCUGACGCAGCCAUGCCGCGUGAAUGAUGAAGGUCUUAGGAUUGUAAAAUUCUUUCACCGGGGACGAUAAUGACGGUACCCGGAGAAGAGGCCCCUGCUAACUUCGUGCCAGCCGCCGCAGUAAUAC
rnacentral:rRNA from 1 species